rnacentral:lncRNA from 1 species
GGCUCUGUGAGCUUUCAAGAUGUGGCUGUAACCUUCACUGUGGAGGAAUGGGCUUUACUAGAUCCUUCCCAAAAGAAGCUGCACAAAGAUGUAAUGGAGGAGACCUUCAGGAACCUGGCUGCUAUAGGAAAAACACAAGAAGGCCAGAACAUAGAUGAGGACCAUAGAUAUUCUAGAAGAAAUCAAAGGUAA